CCUCCCAUAGUGCUGGGACUACAGGCGUGAGCCACCAUGCCCAGCCCCGGAGCCUUGGCUAAUGACUCAGUUGUACAAAAUCAUUUGCCUCUGAGCCUUCAUAACACUUAUUAUCGGUGCUAUUCAUGUGGCAUCUGCAAAAUACUAUCUUUGUGCAGUGGAAAGAAGAUAGAACUUAAAAGCCUGAGUGUCGAGCAUCCAUUCUACCCUUUGCUGAGCAUCCAUUCUACCCUUUGCUGGCCCUGUCACUUGGAGACACUACACACACGGACAUUGCCUCAUCUUUGUAGUGGGGAUGACGGCACAUGCACUCCCUUCCCAGAGGCGUGAGGGUCACAGGAGACCCUGGCGUCUGUCUCUCCCCUCGCUAGCCACUAGAGAUCCUGACAGUUAAGCCUGGUACUAAUCCUCAAGAAGUUUACAGCCUGGUCAAAAAGAGAAGCAUACCGGAACAAAUAUGAAACAAAACCUUACACCACAAGCACACACACUAAUGGGACACGAGCCCAGUAAAGGCAGAAAUGGCUCCAAGGCCUGGAAGCUUGAGGAAUGCAGGAUGUGAGUUGGAAGGAUGGGUGGAAUUUAAAUAAACGGGCAGGGAGCAUUCUAAAUGGUGGGGGGGGGCGGUGGAGGCAAAAACCCAAACAGGAAAUUGAGCAACACGUUCAGGAAAGACAGAGCAUGGCUGCUGGGCAGCCAGGUCAACCGGACGGCAAGGCAGGGGUUGGCCGGGGAAGCACUGCGCCGCCCCUGCAUGCCCUGCAUCCUCGGGUCCUGGGAGGGCUGCUCAGUAACUGGAAGGAAAAUGAAACUGAAAAAGAGCAAGGGUCCCGUAGGAUUGAACACAGUUGGUGAAACUUGGGCCGUCUGCCUCAAGUCCCCGCUUGGCAAAACCACUCCCUCCUGGUGGACGCCCUCACCAUGAAGUUUCAGGCACUGUGACUGACUUCCUGCCGCAGAGGCUAAGAUUCGGCUCGUUCACUCCACAUGUGCACACAGCUCCUACCUGCAGAACACGCCCACCCUUAUGAAGGCCAUGAAAGCAGAUGGCACGGUGCCUGCUUCAGGUGGCUGCUGAGGAGAAGAAACCCUUCAAUGCAUGCAAAGCACUCACGCCUGGCACGCAGGGAGCACCCAGAGGAAGCACUAGUGACCUCCCAGGCUGGAAACACCACAAGGACAGGGCACUGUCAGCUUCGCUGCUGCCCUGUGGGGCUCCACAUCACAGACUGAUAUGCUAGCAGGACCGCACACAUCUGCUGCCCAGGAAAGGACGGUUUCGUAUUUUCUGGAUUAUGACCAGCUAUUGAUCUACUUAUUCUACAAUCUGUAACCUACGUUUUGAUUUAUUUGGUCUUUUCUCUUAGACGGCCUGCCUACCAGCUAUGAAAAAGAACAGAAAACCACCAGGCAAACACUCCAGUUAUGGCCAACAAGUACUAACAGCUGACGAGGUGAAAUCCUGUCUGAAGUCACAGAUUUUGCUGAAGUCCCUUGGACUGUCAUCUCAAUUUCCUUCCCGAGAGACAGCCAAGACCAUGAACCUGGCGAGGUCCCUCCAACCCACGGUGAAAUAGCUUCUCGUUUACACGUGUCCAAGGACACAGGUCUCCUUUUAUAGAUGUCUAAUUUACAUGAAUGUUACGCUUCUGGCUUCCUCCUCACCUAGGUUUUCUAAAAUGCUGUAGAGGACUCAGUCACAGCGCUCUCUUGUAUUUCAUUUACCCAUUCCCUUGCUGUGGUUACUCGGUUGUUUCCAAACUAUUUCCAACAAUGCAGCAAUGAACAUCCUGUACCUGACUCCCUGUCCACUCCAGAAGUUUCUCCAGGGCUAGGCUCUCAAGCCGUUUUUGACGCAGUUACCAUUAUAAUGCUAUACAUACGCACAUAUGUAAGAAACACACAUGGAAGAAAAGUUUCACAAAACAUGACUUAACCUAACAUGCAGUGUUCUCUGAUUUCUUUAGAUUUUAUGCCAUUUAACUCUUUUUAAGCCUCUCAUAACCCACCAGAUUAACUGUUUUUAUUUAUAUAAAUUUAAGGGGUGGGGGUCACACCUGUAGUCCCAGCACUUUGGGAGACUGAAGUGGGAGGAUCACUUGAGCCCAGGAGUUCGAGACCAGCCUGGGCAACAUGGCGAAACCCUGUCUCUACCAAAAAUACAAAAAUUAGCUAGGCAUAGUGGUGCACACCUGUAGUCUCAGCUACUCGGGAGGCUGAGGUUGCAGUGAGUUGAGAUCGUGCCACUGCACUCCAGCCUGGGCAACAAAGCAAGACCCUGUAUCUAAACAAAUAAACAAAAAGAAUCUAAGAUUCUGUGAGACCAAGAAGCUGUCUUUGGCCAGACAUAGUGGCUCAAGCCUGUAAUCUCAGCAAUUUGGGAGGCCAAGGCAAACGGAUCACUUGAGGUCAGGAGUUUGAGACCAGCCCAGUCAAUAUGGGUGAAACCCCAUCUCUACUAAAAAUACAAAAAUUAGCCAGGCAUGGUAGCACACGCCUGUAAUCCCAGCUACUCUGAGGCUGAGGCCUGAGAAUCGCUUGAGCCCGGGAGGUGGAGGUUGCGGUGAGCCGAGCAAGAUGGCACCACUGCACUCCAGCCUGGGCUACAGAGAGAGACUCCAUCUCAAAAAAAAAAAAAAACAAAAAAAAAAACCUGUCUUUGAAACAUAACUUCAUGUCACUUAACACCUCAACAAUGUAAUAAUUUCCUUCACUUUCCCAAAACUUAAAGAAACAAAUGAACAAAAUGG
rnacentral:lncRNA from 1 species